AUGGACUGCGGCAGAGCUGAGGGACGUCAGGCGGGCGUCCAGAAAACUGCCCCAGGGCAUGGCAGGGAGCCUCAGGCGGACGGCCUGGGGGGCAAGCAGAGGCAGAGUGAAGGCGGAACCCUUCAGGAGGCCGGCGGCAAGGACGAUGAGGGCUCAGUCCCUCAGGAGACCUGCAGUGGCACAGAACCCCCUCAGAAGGCCGGCAGCGGUGAAGGCGGAACCCUUCAGGAGGCCGGCGAAGGCGAGGUAGAGGGCGGGUCCCCUCAAGAGGAAGGCCAGGUAGAGGGCGGGUCCCCUCAGGAGGAAGGCCAGGUAGAGGGCGGGUCCCCUCAGGAGGCAGGCCAGGUAGAGGGCGGGUCCCCUCAGGAGGCAGGCCAGGUAGAGGGCGGGUCCCCUCAGGAGGAGGGCCAGGCAAAGGGCGGGUCCCCUCUGGUGGACAGGGUAGAGGGCGGGUCCCCUCUUGUAGAAGGCCAGGCAGAGGGCGGGUCCCCUCUGGUAGAAGGCCAGGCAGAGGGCGGGUCCCCUCUGGUGGACAGGGUAGAGGGCGGGUCCCCUCUGGUAGAAGGCCAGGCAGAGGGCGGGUCCCCUCUGGUGGAAGGCCAGGUAGAGGGCGGGUCCCCUCUGGUAGAAGGCCAGGCAGAGGGCGGGUCCCCUCUGGUAGAAGGCCAGGUAGAGGGCGGGUCCCCUCUGGUAGAAGGUCAGGCAGAGGGCGGGUCCCCUCUGGUAGAAGGCCAGGUAGAGGGCGGGUCCCUUCAGGAGGCAGGCCAGGUAGAGGGCGGGUCCCCUCAGGAGGAGGGCCAGGCAGAGGGCGGGUCCCCUCUGGUGGAAGGCCAGGUAGGGGGCGGGUCCCCUCUGGUGGACAGGGUAGAGGGCGGGUCCCCUCUGGUGGAAGGCCAGGCAGAUACCCCUCUGGAAGGAGCAGGGGGCGGGCCCCCUCAGGCAGGAGCGGAGGACGGACCACCUCAAGCAGGCGACCAGGCCGGUACCACUCUGGAAAGCGAGGAGUGGGCUCAGGAACCGGACAGGGCUCGGGGGCCGGAGUCAGUGCGGGAGCUGGAGUACCAGGAGGAACCGGGUGGUUCCCCACACCCUCCCAGCGCUCCAUUGUCUUAUUUAUUUUGGCUAGUAAAUCCUCCAACUUACGGCCAAAUUGAGCGUCCGCUGGGUCCCAUCGUGGUGCUGUCAUUCUGUUAA
rnacentral:lncRNA from 1 species